GGGGGAAGCUUGCUUCCCCGCCGGCGAGCGGCGGACGGGUGAGUAAUGUCUGGGGAUCUGCCUGAUGGAGGGGGAUAACUACUGGAAACGGUAGCUAAUACCGCAUAACGUCGCAAGACCAAAGUGGGGGACCUUCGGGCCUCACGCCAUCGGAUGAACCCAGAUGGGAUUAGCUAGUAGGUGAGGUAACGGCUCACCUAGGCGACGAUCCCUAGCUGGUCUGAGAGGAUGACCAGCCACACUGGAACUGAGACACGGUCCAGACUCCUACGGGAGGCAGCAGUGGGGAAUAUUGCACAAUGGGGGAAACCCUGAUGCAGCCAUGCCGCGUGUGUGAAGAAGGCCUUCGGGUUGUAAAGCACUUUCAGCGGGGAGGAAGGGGAUAAGGUUAAUAACCUUGUUCAUUGACGUUACCCGCAGAAGAAGCACCGGCUAACUCCGUGCCAGCAGCCGCGGUAAUACGGAGGGUGCAAGCGUUAAUCGGAAUGACUGGGCGUAAAGCGCACGCAGGCGGUCUGUUAAGUUGGAUGUGAAAUCCCCGGGCUUAACCUGGGAACUGCAUUCAAAACUGACAGGCUAGAGUCUCGUAGAGGGGGGUAGAAUUCCAGGUGUAGCGGUGAAAUGCGUAGAGAUCUGGAGGAAUACCGGUGGCGAAGGCGGCCCCCUGGACGAAGACUGACGCUCAGGUGCGAAAGCGUGGGGAGCAAACAGGAUUAGAUACCCUGGUAGUCCACGCUGUAAACGAUGUCGAUUUGGAGGUUGUGCCCUUGAGGCGUGGCUUCCGGAGCUAACGCGUUAAAUCGACCGCCUGGGGAGUACGGCCGCAAGGUUAAAACUCAAAUGAAUUGACGGGGGCCCGCACAAGCGGUGGAGCAUGUGGUUUAAUUCGAUGCAACGCGAAGAACCUUACCUACUCUUGACAUCCAGCGAACCCUGUAGAGAUACGGGGGUGCCUUCGGGAACGCUGAGACAGGUGCUGCAUGGCUGUCGUCAGCUCGUGUUGUGAAAUGUUGGGUUAAGUCCCGCAACGAGCGCAACCCUUAUCCUCUGUUGCCAGCACUUCGGGUG
rnacentral:rRNA from 1 species